UGGAGCGAGAAUGGAGCGAGGAGACUAGAGAUAGAGCCGCGGGCUAUUCCAACGAUGUGGUGGCAAUAGCUCUUUAGCUGCCUUGACAGCUCCAACUACUUCUGUCGCUAGACAAUGGUCCUCGGCCAUUGUCGAGUACCUAGCAGCGGGCUUAGACGUAAGACAUUCGCCGAAGAGGCGCCACGCUUUUAAAUCAAAAGGGCAUAAUAAAUGGAACAUCGUUGGAUCAAAAUAUAAAAUGGAUUACGAUAUUAGCAGCUGCAAAUGUUAAACUAUAGUCAAAGACAACUGAAAUAAAUCGAACCAAUUAACAGGGAA